GUGCUUGCUUCAGAAGCACAUAUACUAACUUUGGAAGAUAGAAGAUUAUCAUUGUCCCCGCACAAGGAUAACACACAAAUUCAUGAGGCAUUCCCAUAUUAA